rnacentral:rRNA from 1 species
AAGCUGACGCAUUACGCCGCGUGAGUGAUGAAGGCUUUCGGGUCGUAAAGCUCUGUCAGGAGGAAAGAAGUGUAUUGUGGCUAAUAUCCACGAUACUUGACGGUACCCCCAAAGGAAGCACCGGCUAACUCCGUGCCAGCAGCCGCGGUAAUACGGAGGGUGCGAGCGUUGUUCGGAAUUAUUGGGCGUAAAGCGCGUGUAGGCGGUUUGUUAAGUCUGAUGUGAAAGCCCCGGGCUCAACCUGGGAAGUGCAUUGGAAACUGGCAGACUUGAAUACGGGAGAGGGUAGUGGAAUUCCGAGUGUAGGAGUGAAAUCCGUAGAUAUUCGGAGGAACACCGGUGGCGAAGGCGGCUGCCUGGACCGAUAUUGACGCUGAGACGCGAAAGCGUGGGUAGCAAGACAGCGAAUUAAGAAUACGCCUGUGUAGUCCACGCCGUAAACGAUGAGUACUAGGUGUUGCGGGUAUUGACCCCUGCAGUGCCGCAGCUAACGCAUUAAGUACUCCGCCUGGGAAGUACGGUCGCAAGACUAAAACUCAAAGGAAUUGACGGGGGCCCGCACAAGAGGUGGACCAUGUGGUUUAAUUCGACGCAACGCGCAGAAGCUUACCUGGUCUUG